GAUGAACGCUGGCGGCGUGCCUAAUACAUGCAAGUCGAACGCUUUGUGGUUCAACUGAUUUGAAGAGCUUGCUCAGAUAUGACGAUGGACAUUGCAAAGAGUGGCGAACGGGUGAGUAACACGUGGGAAACCUACCUCUUAGCAGGGGAUAACAUUUGGAAACAGAUGCUAAUACCGUAUAACAAUGACAACCGCAUGGUUGUUAUUUAAAAGAUGGUUCUGCUAUCACUAAGAGAUGGUCCCGCGGUGCAUUAGCUAGUUGGUAAGGUAAUGGCUUACCAAGGCGAUGAUGCAUAGCCGAGUUGAGAGACUGAUCGGCCACAAUGGGACUGAGACACGGCCCAUACUCCUACGGGAGGCAGCAGUAGGGAAUCUUCCACAAUGGGCGAAAGCCUGAUGGAGCAACGCCGCGUGUGUGAUGAAGGGUUUCGGCUCGUAAAACACUGUUGUAAGAGAAGAAUGACAUUGAGAGUAACUGUUCAAUGUGUGACGGUAUCUUACCAGAAAGGAACGGCUAAAUACGUGCCAGCAGCCGCGGUAAUACGUAUGUUCCAAGCGUUAUCCGGAUUUAUUGGGCGUAAAGCGAGCGCAGACGGUUAUUUAAGUCUGAAGUGAAAGCCCUCAGCUCAACUGAGGAAUUGCUUUGGAAACUGGAUGACUUGAGUGCAGUAGAGGAAAGUGGAACUCCAUGUGUAGCGGUGAAAUGCGUAGAUAUAUGGAAGAACACCAGUGGCGAAGGCGGCUUUCUGGACUGUAACUGACGUUGAGGCUCGAAAGUGUGGGUAGCAAACAGGAUUAGAUACCCUGGUAGUCCACACCGUAAACGAUGAGUGCUAGGUGUUUGAGGGUUUCCGCCCUUAAGUGCCGCAGCUAACGCAUUAAGCACUCC
rnacentral:rRNA from 1 species